GUUAAACUUAGUCCCUGCCUAAGGCUUCCAGGGCAGUUUGAUGAACUACAGCCAAUGGCCUAAUCCAGCUAGAAAAAGUUUUACUGGACUUCAGUCACCCUUAUUUGCAGGCCCUUUACAGAAAACGUAGCUGACUUCUGUUUUAGGAGGCUAAGAAUAUUCUAUAUCUUGAAGUGGAGAUGGUAUAUAAAAAUUCAUAAAUGUAUCCAUUUAGGGUCUAUGCAUGUUAAGUUAUACUUCAAGUUCAAAACAGCGUAAAAUGCCAGGUAAGCCCUGCAUAAACGUCAGCUAUUAUUAAGUGCUCCAUCCUCACUCUAAUUGACAAUUAUUGAAAAGUGUUUUUCAGAGAUGGAGGCAUUUUAAAAUUUAGAAGUCAAGGUGAAUAAACUCCCCUUUAUAUAUACAUCUAUCCUAUUAGUGCUGUCCCUCUAGAGAACCCUGACCAAUACACACGGGUUCAGAUUAGAAUUCAGUAGUUCCCACAUUUGCUGUGUAUCUGACUUACCUAGGGAGCUAGCUAGUUAAUUAGCCCCGACCUUCUGUUUUAAUGUUUUAGCAAGGGGAUCCCAGGAAUCUGUAUUAAAACACAAACAAACCUAGAUAAGCAUGAUGCACACACUAAAGAAACCAGACAUACAUAAUACCAAGUACUGUAAGUAAGUGUUGGACAAUAUCUGCGUGUACAGCCCUGAACUGGAGAAGGUUCGGGGAGAAUGGAUAAGUGUUAGAAUCCUGAACCGACAUUUUAGAGGAAAACAAGUUUUCUUUCCACACAUGAAAUAAAGAGAACAUAAUACAGGUAAUCUGAGACUUGUCACUGAAUAAAUACGACUGCCUUUAUUUUAAACAGACAUUUCCAUUU
rnacentral:lncRNA from 1 species